AAACAGUUUACAUCAAAUACAAGGGAAAAGAGUCAAAGGUGGCUUAUUGGAUAGAAAGCUGGCCUCAAACACAGGUAGACCUCGAUUCAAGUCCUGACUCUGACAUAGACUGCUGUGUGACCUUGGGAGCUGCCUGUGUAUCCUACUGUAUGGCAUGAUGAAGUAAAUUGAAGCUCUAAGAACAGAUGUACUGAAGUGCUUCAAGAAGAUACCAGAUAGACAACUAAUGUUGCUACUGAUGAUGGUGAUGAUGAAGAGGAGGAAGGGGAACAGGAGAAAGGAAAUAAAGAGAAGAAAGAAGACAAAGAAAGAGAGAAGAGAACAAGGAGUAGGACAGGA